rnacentral:rRNA from 1 species
GGCAGUCGUACGAUGAUCCCAGCUUGCUGGGGGAUUAGUGGCGAACGGGUGAGUAACACGUGAGUAACCUGCCCUUGACUCUGGGAUAAGCCUGGGAAACUGGGUCUAAUACCGGAUAUGACUCCUCAUCGCAUGGUGGGGGGUGGAAAGCUUUUGUGGUUUUGGAUGGACUCGCGGCCUAUCAGCUUGUUGGUGGGGUAAUGGCCUACCAAGGCGACGACGGGUAGCCGGCCUGAGAGGGUGACCGGCCACACUGGGACUGAGACACGGCCCAGACUCCUACGGGAGGCAGCAGUGGGGAAUAUUGCACAAUGGGCGCAAGCCUGAUGCAGCGACGCCGCGUGAGGGAUGACGGCCUUCGGGUUGUAAACCUCUUUCAGUAGGGAAGAAGCGUAAGUGACGGUACCUGCAGAAGAAGCGCCGGCUAACUACGUGCCAGCAGCCGCGGUUAAUACGUAGGGCGCAAGCGUUAUCCGGAAUUAUUGGGCGUAAAGAGCUCGUAGGCGGUUUGUCGCGUCUGCUGUGAAAGACCGGGGCUCAACUCCGGUUCUGCAGUGGGUACGGGCAGACUAGAGUGCAGUAGGGGAGACUGGAAUUCCUGGUGUAGCGGUGAAAUGCGCAUAUAUCAGGAGGAACACCGAUGGCGAAGGCAGGUCUCUGGGCUGUAACUGACGCUGACGAACGAAAGCUUGGCGAGCGAACAGUAUUAUAUACCCUGGUAGUCCAUGCCGUAAACGUUGGGCACUAAGUGUGGGGGACAUUCCACGUUUUCCGCCCCGUAGCUAACGCUUUAAGUGCCCCUCCCUGGGGAGUACGGCCCCAAGGCUUAAAACCAAAGGAAUUUGACGGGGCCCCCCACAGACGGCGGAACCUUGGGAAUAAU